rnacentral:rRNA from 1 species
GAGGCAUCUCUUAAAUAUCAAAGGUGAGCCAGUACAGGAUGGACCCGCGUCUGAUUAGCUAGUUGGUAAGGUAACGGCUUACCAAGGCAACGAUCAGUAGCCGACCUGAGAGGGUGAUCGGCCACAUUGGAACUGAGACACGGUCCAAACUCCUACGGGAGGCAGCAGUGGGGAAUAUUGCACAAUGGGCGAAAGCCUGAUGCAGCAACGCCGCG